UCCAGCUCCAAUAGUGUACACUAAUAUUGCUGCUGUUAAAAAGCUCGUAGUCACGAUUGAGACCCGGCCUGGUCAGUGGCCACGUUUGGAAGGACUGAGUAGCUCUUGUCGAGCCUGUAAAAGGGUGAGAUCAGACUCUUGGGUCGGCCCGUGGUACUUUGAAAGGUUUAAACACUGGCCAAUAGGUCGGGAUCUCAUUGACGAGGUUACUAACCAGGUGCUUAUCUUUUGCAAGGAUCCCUGGGCCUCAAAGUUACCGUGAAGAAAUGGGAAGGUUCAAGACAAGUGCUCUAAAGCACACUGAACAGGCUAGCAUGGGAUAACAGUGAAUCGACCAAGCAGAACGCAUGUCUUACACUGUUGGCUUCUUAGCGUCUGCGAGGAAAGACCGGGCAAUGAGGAUCAACAUGAAGCAGUGGUUUCGGCUGCUGUGGAGUGCCUCUUGUCAUGCGGGACGAAUGGGGAGAAGCGGGGGAAUCCGUAUUCCAUGGUCAGAGGUGAAAUUCUUAGACCCAUGGAAGACGCCCAAGAGCGAAGGCAGUUUCCAAGUGUCUCUCCGUUGAUCAAGAACGAUAGUAUGGGGAUCGAAGAUGAUCAGAUACCGUCGUAGUCCAUACCGUAAACUAUGCCGACUAAGGAUUGGGGAUGUAACCCUUUUGUAAAAGAAGACAGAGACAACUCCAGGACUCGACAAUAGACAUAAUAUCUUGACGAGAAAUCAAGAGUCUUUGGGUUCAGGGGGGAGUAUGGUCGCAAGGCUGAAACUUAAAGGAAUUGACGGAAGGGCACCACAAGGCGUGGAACUUGCGGCUUAAUUUGACUCAACACGGGACAACUUACCAGGUCAGGACAUCGCAAGGAUUGACAGACUGACGGCUCUUUCUUGAUUCGAUGCAUGGUGGUGCAUGGCCGUACUUAGUUGGUGGAGUGAUUUGUCUGGUUAAUUCCGAUAACGAACGAGACCUCAACCUUUAAAUAACACUAUGAUCGAUUGUAGGUUCUGGAUGACAGGCCCUAAAAGAGUCUAGGUGAAGCCUUUACGGGUGGAGCUAUAGAAUUUCUGUAGGAAUACCUGACGCCUAAUAAAAAGGAUCGAGAUCAUUAGCAGGUUUCUUUUAGGGACUGUGUCAGGUGACUACUGCGCGGAGGUUUGAGGCAAUAC
rnacentral:rRNA from 1 species